GUGAAUCAUCAAAUUUUUGAACGCAUAUUGCACUCUCUGGUAUUCCGGAGAGUAUGCCUGUUUGAGGGUAAUUAAAAAGAAUCUUUAACCAAUUUUUUUUUGGUAAAAGGAAUUGAGUUCUCCGGGUUAAUAGCGGUAGCUUGAAUUAAAGGGCAAAGCCCAAUUUUAGUGGAGACGCGUAAUAAAAUUAUUUGGCGAAAUCUUAAUUAGGUGA
rnacentral:misc_RNA from 1 species